UCCCAUUCUAUGCCUCCACAGUGCUGUUUAAAAAUAAAAAGAGCUACUGAUGUAGGAGGGUCCUAUACACUGUAAGGCACCACCAAAAAAAUAAAAAUUAAAAAAAAAAAAGAAUGGAAAGUUCAAGGACUUGUCUGGAUCUAAGAACAACUUGAUCAGGGUGAUGUCACCAGGACCCAUUCUAGUUCUCUCACUCCAUCUCUUAGCCCUGUCACUACCAUGUUGGCCUUGCUCUGAAAAAAGGCUGUAUUGACUAGCUAUUAUCACGACACUGCUGCUGAACCAGCAACCACAACAUACAGAGACAUUCAACAAUGAGCGCUUCCUUCUCACACAACUGUGGGUCAGCUGAGGUCAACUGGGCCUAGUCAUCCCUUUGCAUAUCUGUUAGGUUAGAUUCUGGUGGCCCUGCUUCGAUGGGGUCCAGCUAAGCUUGGCUCCUCAAGGCAGGCUGGGGAUAUCAUCUUGAGGCUGGGCUGAGGGGGCAACGGCCACCCUGAGAAAUUCUUCCUAUGGCCACAGUAGAAGUACAAAGAGCCAGCGCAAAUGCACAAGCACAUUUCAAGCCUCUGCUUGUGUUACACCUGUUAACAUCUCAUUGGCCAAAGCAAGUCACAUGCUGAGCCCAAAUUCAAGGCUGCCCACCAUAAGGCAGUUGUAUGGCCAAGCCUGACAUCACUGCUCUGAAGGAGUUGACUCCUCUCAUGGAAGUGGGGUGGGGGGAAGGGGGUGAAUGUGGGAAUAAUAAUCAAACUUAAAACAGAGUCCUGCUCCCAUCACAGUCCCAAUGUAAAUACAAUCUCUUCAGCAUUUGUUUCUUCUUAACUUCAAGUCCAAGGAGAAGAAUACCUUCCUACAAAAGUCUCUGUUUCUCACCGGCCCUGGUGCAUCCUCCCCCAUCCCUGCACCCGUGACUGUAACAAACAGGAUCCCCUGCUUUAACCAGAGGUGGAAAGUGAAUCACAUUGUUCAAACUGCAUGGGGAAAACUCUACAGAAAGAAACCAGCACACCAGUACAAGAAUGAGUGUCAAGGAUCCUGGGCUGCAAAAAAACCACUGUGGGGACCCUACUCCUCUCACCUCACCCCGCGGUUCCCUCUUCUCCUGCUCUUAAUCUUAUGCUGCAGCUGUUUCUCAUGAGCUUGUAUCCAUGACACUUCCUGUUCCUCUCUCAGGUUUGCUUUGGCCUCUGGAGUCCUGGGCUCAGGAUUCCUCAAGCUUACCUCUCAGGCUUCCUUCUAUAAAUGUGUUCAAAAUUGCCCUUUCCCCUAGGCUUCCUCCCCCAGAGGUUCAGUCUCUAUGGGUGCCCGCUCUGGCUGCUGGCCCCCAGGAUCAAAGACCUCACUGGAUUCACCCUUCUCUUCCCUGGGUCAUGUUGACACCCCUUGCCCUCCCCACCCCAGCCAGGGGCUGCAACCUGCCAGGCUACACACCGGCCACCCUGCCAGCCAAGUCAUUGGACCUGACAGAUCUCAUGUGGCUGCCCCGGGGCCUCUCUCAGGUCCGUUCUACAGGAGAGAGAUUUAUUUCCCUGAAGUUUCAGGGCAGGAAAAGACUCACUUCCUGGAGGCAUGCCAAGAAGGAGGCAAUCCACCCAGGAAACAAACAAGACCCUUUUCUCUAUAGUCUUUCCUGCUUCCCCAUGUCAAACCCUCCCUGCUCCCCUUGAGUGAAAGGAGAGCUGUCAGGAUCAAAGCCCCAUAUUUGUGAUGAACUGCUGCUGGCUAGACCCGCGCAGGAAGGGCUGUCAGCGCUUAACUCCUUCUUACCCACUAUGUGCUGGCUGCGGUCAUAGACUUCUGUAGUCACAUUGCAGUAAGUGAAACAUCUUUUUAUGAGCGGAGAGCCAUGCCAACUGGAAAGUUUGAAAGAAUGAUUAAGGACUUGAAAGGCAGAAAAAUCUGCCUUGGAGUCUUUCUUGAACUCCUUAACUGCUUCAUAAUAGAUGAUCUAAUAUAUUUGCUCCAGGAGAUUAUAAAGACCAAGAACAUGGAUUCUGGAAGCAGGCCCUUUGGGUUAAAUCUCUCUUUCACCUCUCUCUAGCUGGAAGACCUUGAAUUAGCUAUUUAGCUUUUCUAUCUCAGCUUCCUCAUCUGUAAAAUGGACAUAAGAAUUACAGGGAUCUCAUGGUGUGGCUGGAAGGACUAAACAAGAUAAUGCACAUGCUGAGCUUAACCCAGUGUCUAGCAUAUUACAAGGAUCAUUAACUUUCUUCGUGGCUAUCACUGUUACUAUUUUUAUUAUUCCGGAGGAUGAAAGAAGACAGUACCCAGGCUUGCUGAAAAUCAAGUGUCAAGUUACAAGACAUGCGCUGCAUAAUUAAAAAUCACACAGCCUGAGUCUCUGGGCCUUCAGCUUCUGUUAAAUAAGCAUGUGACAAAAUCUUUGUCACACCCUCCAAGACAACAAAAUGUGACUAUUUUCCAAAAGGAAAGUGAAUUACAGAAUACAAUUACUGAGCAAUUUUACUGCCAGGACUGGGAGUGAGAUCAUGUCACAGGCCAGCCCCAGACUCUUCAUUCUCUAAAUAUCUUCUAAGGACUCUAGCUUCAUAAUACAACAGGGAACAACAGGGGUUUGCAAACCAAUGGGAAAGACAAAGAUAUACAUUAUCUAUAUGUCUAACUAUAUGUCUAACUUUAUGUCUGUGGCUAAGUGCUCAAAAAUACAACUACAACACUCUGGAGGAUUUUGCAAUUGUUCCUUCCUUGCUUGACUCCACACUUCGAAUGGAUCCUGUGAAGUCUUCUUUGUGAAACUCAUCUUAGGUUACUUUUAACUCAUAGAGGAGUUAAAUUGUUGUUGAGAAAGCACCCAGUGCUUUUGAGAUUCUAGGUUAUUCCAAUGAAUUGUAAAUAAGAAUGGGCAUGAUGGAUCUCAUGUGGCUGCCUUGGGGACUUUGGCAGUUGGGUCCUGGGAAAUUUCUAAGAUAUUUCACUUCUUGUCAAAUAAAUUUGUAUUAUUCUCAACUGGGGUUACAGCCAUGAAAACGUUCUGAUACAACCGCCAUCGCCCAACCUGGCUCUGGAACCACUAUAAACCCUAAGACCCCAACUGAGGAUGGCCACAAUUCCUAAGGAAACAACAAUGAAAAAUGUGUCACUUGUGGUUUAUUUUCCUAGAGCCAUAUUAAGGAGAAACAGGAUGGUUUCAAGAAAUAAACUGUUGGAGUUCCUGUCGUAGUUCAGCGGAAACGAAUCUGACUAGUACCUAUGAGAACACAGGUUCGAUCCCUGGCCUCACUCAGUGGGUUAAAGACCCAGUAUUGUCAUGAGCUGUGGUGUAGGUUAUGAGCUGUGGUAUAGGUCAAAGACGUGGCUUGGCUCCAGCAUUGCUAUGGCUGUGGUGUAAACCAGAGGCUAUAGCUCCAAAUUUACCCCUAGUCUGAGCACCUCCAUAUGCUGCAGGUGCAGCUCUAGAAAGGCCAAAAAAAAAAAAAAAAGAAAAAGAAAAAGAAAGAAGCUGUUAAAUUUAUAGGGUGAAAAAAAAUCUUAGUUUUAAUUAUAGUCUAGACUGACUUUCUUGGCAAUCACCUCACCCGACACAGAGAAACUGGUAGAAAUGUGGGGUCAAUAAAAUGGCAACAAAUGAGCACCAGCUUGUCUUUUGAUGUAGGAAACCUAUUUCUUUCCCACCUGCUGAACAAACUAAGUAGAUAGAAAAUUAAUGAAGGAUAAAAUAUUGAGGUAAGACUCAUCUAAAAAUUGAGUAGAAAUGGCAAUAAUGGUACGUCUAGAUUUUUCAUUUAUCCUUAUGAUAUUUACAUGAAAAGGAGAACGUCCAUCAUUACUGGACUUAAAAUGCUGUCAACUGGAAUAACAGCUGUUGAUCUGAAGAACCGUCAGAACACUAUCCUCUGAGACCUUCCAAUUCUCUUUUGUGCAAAUGAGUUUUAAAACAUCAGAGAAUAAAAGGGGUUGAUCUGUUUAAAGACUUCUGGCAGAAAGUCAGGUUCAAAAAAUUUGUGACACUUCAGGUUUGAGCAAAAUUGGCACUGACAAAAAGAGAAGAGAGAGUUGAAAAAAGUGAAUGACUUGGUGAUAUGGCUACCAAGAGAAGUCUUUCCUCACUAAAAUGAAGGAGGGAGAGGUGGAGGAGGAGGUGUGGGGAGGGAUAUAAGGUACUGGAGGAAGAACACAGAAGGGAGAGAUGAGGAGGAAGAAAACUUAGAGGGCUUCAAGGAAACCAGUAAUAAAGUCACAAAGCACCUUAUUUUAAUCCAUUUUUUCACAUCGCUGAUAUGCAAGAGGAAAGGAUGUGAUGAAAGGCAUUGUGAAGUUGCCACUAGAGCAAUUUCUUGCUAAUAGGAGACCUAUGAUUUAGAGGGAUAAAGAUGAGCAACGACUUACAGUGUGAGAAAAAUUGAACCAACAUUGAUUUAAUGCUGCCAGACAGCCAAUCAACACUGUAGGGGAUGAGAAGAGCCCUCUGGUAAGACCCAAGCUCUCUGCUGACCGCGUGGACCCUACUCGAAGGAACACUGUGGUCAGACAGUCUCUAACUUCUGCAGGGCCUGAACCAAGCAUACAAAUAGAGGUAUUUAGACGUUAUGUCUCACUAUUUAUAGUUUUAAGUCGAGCUUACAGCCUUCUAAAUAAAAUAUUUUUUCUAUCUAACAAAUUUACUUCUAUUUAACCAAUAUUCUUUCACAACAACUCGUUUGAGCUUUAUACAUCUGAAAAUCAAUAAAACUGCAAACGACUAGAUUUCAUUAUUAUUGCUCAGAUUUGGGUGUUCUAUUGAUGGCCAAUGAUGUUUAGAUGAGUAAUAAAAUAAAAACAUACACAAUUCAUAAUUUAUGCUCUCAUUUCAUAAAAUAAAUAGUCCUUACCUGCAUUUAAGUAUAAAAUUUAUGCUUAACUGACAGUAAUGAUAUGAAGGAUUAAAAUACAAAUAAAAUUACAUUCAAUGUAUACAAAAUGUGUAUUUGCCUUGAAAGGUAAAUUAAGCUAACUUCAAAAAUGAAAAUAAUUAGAACUAUUUGUAUUUAUGAAUUCAGAAAUUAUUUUCCAUCUAAAAUAUUGAAAAUUAUCUCAAAAUUUAAAAGCAAAAAUACAUAUAAUUACUAAAUAUUAACAUUUAAAAUAUUAUUUAAAUAAAACUGAAUUUUUGUUUAACUUUUUGAAAAUCUUAAUUAAAUCUUAUUCAACAAUUUUCUAAAAAACAAAACUAUUUCCAGUUUUAGCCAAUCCAGUCUCCACCGAUUGUUAGUGUGAAGAUUUGUCAUUUUGCUUCCUAAAUUUCAAAUCUAGGUGUGUGCAUUAUAAUAAUUAUAGCAUAUAUAUAGCAAUACUAAAUUCAACAGUAAUAUGAAGUUGUUUAAUGUCAUAAAAUAUUCCUCAGCCACCAUGUGCAACUAUUGUUGUGAAUUCUCAUGUGUACCUCUGGAACCACUUUUUAGGAUACACAAUAAACAGACCCUCAGGACUGCGAGGAUCAUUCUUUAAGCAAAAUCUAUUGCAUUCAUGCAGAGAAAGAAGAAUUUAACAUGUAUAAAAGUUUUGUUUUCUCUUAUCUGAGUGCUUCUGCUGCCGCAGUCCUUCCCACACUCAGACAUAGUGCCCACCUCAGUCCCAGCAGUGGAAGGAACCACGAGCCCUUCACAGCAUUUUAGACUGUCAUCCUUGUCCAUAGUCAAGGACAAGAAAAUAUGAAGAAUCAGUUUCCGGGAUCCUAAACAUUGUUAAGUCAUGAGAAUGGGAGCUUAGGAAUGAUGGGUUGUGUUGUACAAGCACGCAAAGAACUUCCAAGAGAUCAAAGUGCAUAGUUAUUUGUGACAUGUGGGGGAUUUUCUAAAGCCCAAAGCAGGACCAUCUCAUCUGGGUAUAAGAAAGGUUCGGCUGUGGUUCAUCCCCAAGACAAAACAGAAAAUAUUCAGUUUAGAUUGUAAAAUUAUAAUGAAUACUACCAAAGCCACAUGCUGUGUCUAUUCUUCUGCAGUUCUUUAAACUUUGUUCCUACUCGUGUAUUGUCUUUCCUACAUGCUUCCUACAGUGAAUACUUAGUGCAUGAAAUGAAGGCCAGCACAUGGGACCUUGAGCCAGUCAUUUUCCCUGUUUUCUCAUCUGUGAAUGGAAGCAGGUGGACUAUAUAAUUUCUCCUUUAAUAUGAUGUAGUUCUCAGGUUGCUAUCUUCUUGCUGAAGGAGAAGGAGGCUUCAGUAUAGGACAAAGAGCAAGGGCUCUGGGGUCCCUGAGACCUGCUUAGCUCUGUGACUUGGGGCAAGUUAUUUAAUCUCUUUGGAUCUGUCUCUUCAUCUGUAACGUAGACAAUUAUGAUGGCCUUAUAGGACAGUGUUCAGGAUUAAAUGAAAUAAUGCAUAUUAUGUUGCCAGCAGAGUGCCUAAUGUACCAGAAAUGUAUAUUACAUAAAGCUAAACUCACAUUUGGAAAAGAAAGCAAAAUGGAACAUGAGUCCACACACAUGACUGGAACUGUAUGUGCCUGCACACACAUUUACUGAAAAAUCUAGGAUCUAUAGCAUGGGAUAUGGGGUGGGAAUGACAAGGAGUGGGUUGAAAUUCAUGGAGCUGGCAAAGAAACUGCCAGUUUCUGAAUUGCAUUUGGUAAUUGGAGAAAAUUAAUUACUCUAGAUUUAAAAAAAAAAAUGAGGGGGGAACAUCUAUACCUGAAAGUAAACUAUUUAUUGAAGUGUAACAGACAUAUGGAAAAGUUAACAAUUCAAAAGUGCCUGGUUCGAAGAAUUUUCACAGAGUGGGCCACAAGCAUGCAUUCAGUGAGUAACCAAGAAAUGGAACCUUAUUAGCACCCAUACAAGUUCCUUCAUGAU
rnacentral:lncRNA from 1 species